UACAACAUAGUGUUAAUGCAUUGGAUCCCAUUAGAACUUCGUAGUUAAGCACGCUCAGGUUAGAGUAGUACUGGGAUGGGUGACCACCUGGGAAGUCUUAGUGUUUUAC
rnacentral:rRNA from 1 species